ACAGUCCUGUAAAGAAAAUAACAUUACUAGCAGGAUACACAAAAUGGAAAUGCUUACGUUCCAGUCUCAUUAAACUACAUUUAUAUUUAGAAUUCUUCUAAAAUGAAUUCUUCUUCUUCUAGGCUGAAAUAUUCCAGCAAUUUAACUUGUUCUUACUCAAUAAUUCUAACAUCUGGUUAGAGCCAAGUGGGUGAAAAAUCAAACUCCCAAAUCAACUGUCCCACUGCUCCUGUUAAAGUGACCUUCACCAGCUCCCUGCUCCAGGGAAUAGCAACACCCCUCCUUCAGCUGCCUUCUCCUUCCAGCACCAUGCAUGGGUUUCCUGGCCUGCUCACUGAAUUCCAAAUGGGAUUUCAUGGGUAAGCUGCAGCUGGUGUUGCUGAUGGAUUAUACCUGGAGAGUGAAUAAAGGUAUAAGCGAUUCCAUGGAUUUUACUGAAACAGCAAAGUUUUCCUCCAAGUCUUGCUUGAUGAAGAUUUCUAGUUCCUGGGAGGAUCUUCCAAAUUCCUGCAAUGGCGUGUGAGACUUGGAGCCUCAGCACACUCUUCCUCACCAAUCUCCACAAAAAUGGCCUCAAGGCCCACACAAGUACCAAGUACUGGAGGCUCUCUCAACAGAGCAUCUUUUCCGCAACGCCCAAAAAAACUAUUCUUACUUCCAUUAAUCCAUGCACUUGUACUGUCCUAGGAGACUACUAAAAAGUAUCACUAUUAUAUCAGUAUCACAGAGGUGUCCAAUAACUGGAGUAGUUAAUGAACUCAAUUAAUCUGAGACAAUUCAAAUGAGAUUUCAUCCCUUACCCUCAAUAAAUGUACUCACUGGUUAAAACCUAGAACCACACUUGGUACUAAAGCUUGAGCUAAUGGCUCUCCUCUGAACUCUUGAUAGCAAAGUUGUGCACAAAGAAGGUAUUUUUGCUAUCCCUGUUCUGUUCACAGGUCAUACAGACUGAAUAUUUACUUUUUUCCCAGGAGCUGUAACCAGAUGUUAGUAAUUGAAUAGAAAGAAGCAAAACUGACGGAACAUUUUAAUGUAUUUGCAAUAUAGAGUUUGAACAACUGGAAGAGAAACUAAUUAAUGUAUUAUUCCUUUGCUCUGCAGCGAGACUUGACAUCCCUGGUUCUCUUGAUGUGCUGAUCACCAAAUUCCAAAUAGGAUUUCAUGGAAAAAAACCCGACCUACUAUUGUGUGUGAUUUAUAUUGCCCUUGCAUUUCCUGGUGCUAAGAAUGUAGAAAAGAGCACUCCUUGUGCUUGAGAGGCUGGACUGUGCUUACCUGGAUCCCUUAGCAUGGCAAACUUCAGUCCCUUCAGCACCUUGUCAAGUCACCAUUUCAAUUGCACAGCUUUUAAUCACAAGUUCUCUUCCAAAGCUGCAUGCAUCACUGACAAUUUUUAACACUCAUUCCCUUUGGAAAAAAGGAGAUCACUUUAAGUACCAAGCCUCAUGCUCAGGAUCAGUAGAGCACAUGGUUGGGCUCAUGCAGUGCACUCUGCAAGGAUUGCAAUGCUCAUGGCAGAAAUGAAGUCUGUGAUCUCAGAGGGCACUUGCACAAUCAA